rnacentral:rRNA from 1 species
UACGUAGGGUGCAAGCGUUGUCCGGAAUUAUUGGGCGUAAAGAGCUCGUAGGCGGUCAGUCGCGUCUGCUGUGAAAACUCGGGGCUUAACCCCCGGGCCUGCAGUGGGUACGGGCUGACUAGAGUGCGGUAGGGGAGACUGGAAUUCCUGGUGUAGCGGUGAAAUGCGCAGAUAUCAGGAGGAACACCGGUGGCGAAGGCGGGUCUCUGGGCCGUAACUGACGCUGAGGAGCGAAAGCGUGGGGAGCGAACAGG